rnacentral:lncRNA from 1 species
CAGGACCACACCCCCCCCUCUCCCCCCUAAAUUUUGGCCCUUCCCAUGGGGCUCCCCUUCCUCAUCCUCACCCUGCUGGUGCUGGGGCUGGGGGAGGGGCACCAGGACCCCCCCCCAGCCUCGGGGCACCCCCAGGAUCCCCACCCCCACCUCUAUGGGCACCCCAAAACCCGCCCGGACACCGCCCAGGUGUGGCUGCAGAAAUCCUCCUUUUUCACCCUAAAAUUCUUAUUUUUAACCCAAAAAUCCUCAUUUUUAACCCAAAAAUCCUCCUUUUUAACCUAAAAAUCCUCAUUUUUGACCCCCAAAAUCCUCAUUUUUAACCCUUUAAACCCCAUUCAACCCCAAAAUCCCCAUUUUUAACCCCCAAAAUCCCCAUUUUUAGCACAAAAAUCCCCAUUUUUCCCCAAAAAUCCUCAUUUUUAACCCCAAAAAUUCUCAUUUUUAACCCUUUCAUCCCCAUUUUUAAUGCUUUCAACCCCAUUCCCGCCCCAAAACCCCCAUUUUUAACCCCCAAAACCCCCAUUUUUCCCCAAAAAUCCUCAUUUUUAACCCCAAAAAUCCUCAUUUUUAACCCUUUCAACCCCACUUUUAACCCUUUCAUCCCCAUUUUUAACCCUUUCAACCCAUUCCCCCCCAAAAAUCCCCAUUUUUAACCCCCAAAAUCCCCAUUUUUCCCCAAAAAUCCCCAUUUUUAACCCCAAAAAUCUUCAUUUUUAACCCCCAAAAUCCCCAUUUUUAACCCCAAAAAUUCUCAUUUUUAACCCUUUAAACCCCACUUUUAACCCUUUCAAUCCCUUUAACCCCCCAAACCCCCAUUUUUAACCCCAAAAUCCCCAUUUUUAACCCUUUCAACCCCAUUUUUCCCCCCAAAAAUCCCCAUUUUUUCCCCCAAACCCCCCAUUUUCACCCAAAAACCCCCUUUUCCCCCCAAAACCCCCAUUUUUUUUCCCAAAACCCCCAUUUUUCCCCCCAAAACCCCCAUUUUUAACCCCUUCAACCCCAU